GAUGUCGAUGCUUAAAAAGCAAUCGACUUACAAGGGUGUGGAAAAAUGGGCUCGAUAUUAAAUCGAGAAAAAUAUGAUUUUUAUAGUUUAAAAAUGGUUUUGAAUGAAUGAAGAAAUUAAAAGACAACAAAUCUAUGUUAUGAUAAUGAAACUAUGAAAAUAAUAAAGCAUAAACAUAACAAAAAAAUGUUAAAAGAAAUAAAAUACUAAAAGAAAAUAAAAUGCUAAAAGAAAAAUAAAAUACUAAAAAAAACUACACAUGAGUAUUGAACCCACCUCACUCAAGAUUAUGAUACUACCCUUCUCCACCAGACCACUCAUGGUUAUUUAUUACUUUGAUGCUACUUUAAAUAUAUAAACCAAAAUAGAUUAAACAUUAGAAUAAAAAACUAAAAUAAAAAAAAAGUCUGUUGGACUACCAGUAAUUAAACCCAGCCGCUUGGCUGUUGGGUUUAAGAGGCUGGUGAGUUGGGAAUAGAAAAAAUGGAAUCAAUACUUAUUAACUGCUUAGGAAGUUUAAACAAAAUUUAAUGGUUUACUUAUUCCGUUUAAAAUGAAUUAAAGAAAAAAAACAAAUUGGAAUAGUAACAGAGUAGCAGAUUUCACCGUCCUCAUUCCCCCAAUCUGCUUCACACAAAAAAACGCUCUCAAUCGCUCUCCCUAUCGUUCUCCACCGCUCUCGGCAAGCUCACUCUCUCCUCUCACGAUCUCGCUCUCAAACUCAAAGAAAACUCUCCCUCUAAAUUGUACCUUCCCCCCCUCAAUCGCUCUCUCUCAGACGAG
rnacentral:lncRNA from 1 species